rnacentral:tRNA from 1 species
GGAGUUGUGGCUCAGUGGUAGGGUGCUCGCCUUGCACGUGCGAGACCCUGGGUUCGAUCCUCAGCACCA